CGAUGGCUGAUUACCAGGCGCAGUUCGAUGCCGCAAAGAAGGCGCGCGAACUGGCCAUUCGUGCCGGGCAACUCGUAACCACCGUGGACGACCUCACCCAGCAGGUGACCAACGCCGAGACGCAGGCGCGCAAGGCGGGCAUGGCCAACAUCGAUCAGGUACUGGAACAGGCCGGUACCGCGAAGGCGCAACUACUCGCGCUCAUGGACAAACUCCGGCGCCCGCAGCCAGCGAUGGGUUAUCGCAUGUAUCCGCGACUGACUGAGGACGUGGGCUCCACGCUCGGUGGCAUCGCGGGCCCGCAAGCCAGGCCGACGUCUGGACAGCUGACCGUGCUUGGCGAGCUUGAAGCCGACGCCAUCGCGCGGCAGCAGGAACUCAACAAGGUUAUCGACGGUGCCAUAGCAGCGUUGAACAAGAUGCUCGGUGAUCAGCCGAAGGUGAUCGUUCCGAAACAAGGAGGUGGACGAUGAAGAUGAAAACGGGAGCCUUGAUCGUAGCCGCGAUUGCACUGAUCGCGCCUGGAAGUGGCCGCGGCCUCUCGGCCCAGGGGAGCGUGAAGUACGUGAAGUACGAGUCUGCUGGCCGCACGGCUUGGGGGAUUCUGGAGGACGACACCACGAUCCGGGAAACUCUCCGGUUCACCAAUUUCCACGAAGGCGACGCCGAGUGGGAGAGUCGUGAAGAUGGCGGAUGUGCGGCUGCUGCCCCCGGCAGAGCCGACGAAGGUGAUUGCCGCCGGCCUCAACUACAAGAGCCACAUCGGAGAAGCGUCGGCGGCGAAGUAUGUGGGCCUUUUCG
rnacentral:misc_RNA from 1 species